AGUGGAGGUCCUGCUGUUGGCACAGUCGGUACAGGAAUGAAGUUUGCUCUUUGAGGAGAGUCUGUCUGGUCGUGAGGAACACUGUGCCGCCGACGUUCAGCCGGACCCACUUCCCGUUGUUCCCCCCGGUGGGGUUGAUGACCGAGCCGUUCCCGAUGCCCUGCGACGCCGUCCCCCCGGGUUCCGCCGAACUAGCUGUAGCGGAGGUCGCGGUAUCUCCCGCCUCACUGUCUUUGUUGUUGUUGUUAUUAUUGUUGUUGUUGUUGCUGUUGUGGUGCUGUCGGGAGCCGGGGUGCGGCGACAGACCAGCGACGUCCGCCGGUUCCCGCUGCUCGUCCGCGGUCGUUGCCAUUUGAAACUAGCCGAUGGACACGAGGUGAGACGGGCGAGGGCGUCCGUCCGUGUCUGUUGAUAUCUGGCUCCUUCUCUCCGUUACCCACCGGGCACGCUCCGCCCCAAACCCGGGCAAACCAACUCAGAGAGCUGCCAAAGCUACAGGAAGUUACCUAUUGUACAUCCUGGAUACACUUUCAAAGAGUGUCAAACAUGCACCCCGAGGGCCAAAACCGGCCUGCCAGAGGUUCCCAUCCAGCCCACAGAACGACUUUACAAAGUGAAAAAAUUACAGAGAAGAUAUUGACUGCAAUUUUUUAAUAAAAGUAACUGCUAUUUCA